AUCAACACAAAGUAGCAAACGAAAGCGAUUCUUAAUACUAACAUCUACAAUUCCAAAUUGCUAAGUUACCUGACGGCGGAAUCGAAGGCGGAGGAGGAGGCGGAGGAUAGAGCUCCGUCUCGCGGUGUUCCGCUUUGAUUACGAUGAAUCCAUCGUCGGUGGAGUCAGGUGUUCCGCUUUGAUUACGAUGAAUCCAUCGUCGGUGGAGUCGCUAACGACCUCAUUCGAGCAUGAAGCCUCCAGUGGCCGACGAGUGAAACCGGCUCUCGUUAUCACUCCUCCUCCGUUGCGAAACAGCCGCACGAUCUCUCUCCG
rnacentral:lncRNA from 1 species